rnacentral:lncRNA from 1 species
CUCAAUACACCCAACAAUUUUUUUCUUAAAACACAUAUCACUCCACCCUAUAAAGUUUUCUGGAGGUGGGAUGCAAUGCCUAUCUUGGCCUUCCUACUUUCUCUUUAAGCCAAAAAGGAAUUCAAUUUGGGUAUUUGAAUGAUAGAUUGGAGAAGAAAAUUUUAUGCUGGAAUCAAAGGAAGUUCUCUGCGGGGGAAAAAAGAGGUCCUUAUCAAGGCAGUAGCUCAGGCGAUGCCAACAUUUGCUAUGCAAUGCUUCAGAAUACCGGAUACUAUCCAUAAAAUAUGUAUGAUAUUUUGGUGAGGCGACAAGGAGGAGAAAAAAUGUAUGCAUUAGGCGAGGUGAGAACGCAUGUGUGUGUCGAAACAAAAAAGAGGCAUGUGGUUCAUGGAUUUAAAGAUUUUAAACAAAGCUUUAGCCGCGAAACAUGCUUGGAGGAUGAUUUUGUAUCCACCCGUGUUUUUAAAGCUAAAUACUUCAAAAAUGAUGAUUUGAUGCAAGCUCAUGCUCUCUCGAGAUCGUCUUAUGUUUUGGCGCUCUAUUGCCUAGACGGAAAUUAGUUUUUCAAAUAUAGAUUUACCAAGAUUGAGAGGUUUUAUUAGUCACCUCACCACUUUUUNNNNNNNNNNNNNNNNNNNNNNNNNNNNNNNNNNNNNNNNNNNNNNNNNNNNNNNNNNNNNNNNNNNNNNNNNNNNNNNNNNNNNNNNNNNNNNNNNNNNNNNNNNNNNNNNNNNNNNNNNNNNNNNNNNNNNNNNNNNNNNNNNNNNNNNNNNNNNNNNNACAAAAUACACCAACAAACACCAAGAACCCUGAUAGGCAUACCUCAGGCAUAAGUGUGAAUUUCAACAACCAAUCAUCAACUAUAUUAGGAAUGAAUUAAAUUUUCAAUCAAUGAUUGAAUGAGCUAUUCGUGAUAUUCCAACAACAUUUCGGCCUAAGCAGAGAAAGACUGACCGAAGAGCCGAGCCUACGGUAUUGAGGCGGUGGAGUUCGUCGGGCCACCGUGAGUGGAGAGAUAGAAGGUGGGUCGUGGUGGCGGGUGGAUCUGUUGUUUCAAUGGCGAUUACAGUCUUGCAGACUUCUCUGACAACCAUUAGUUUUCUCGAAUUUCUUUUUAUUCCAUAUUUUAUUUAUUUGAAUUUGAUUAUUAUAUUAUUUGAGCACCAAUGGAUUAUUAUAUACUUUUGUCCAUAAAAGAUCUUCAUACUUUUUCUUUUUGAGACGUUCACAAAAAAAAAAUUAUUUAUUUUUGGACUAUAAUUACAAUACACUCAAGUGACUCAACUCACCAACCUUUUCCCCGCUCUCAAUACACCCAACAAUUUUUUUCUUAAAACACAUAUCACUCCACCCUAUAAAAUUCUUCCAUGGACGGAGGGUGUAUUUGAUUAUUUUAUUUUCUGGAGGUGGGAUACAACGCCUAUCUUGGCCUUCCUACUUUCUCUUUAAACCAAAAAGGAAUCCAAUUUGGGUAUUUGAAGAAAAUUUUAUGCUGGAAUCAAAGUAAGUUCUUUGCGGGGGAAAAGAGGUCCUUAUCAAGGCGGGUAGCUAAGGUGGUGCCAACGUUUGCUGUGCAGUGCUUCAUAAUCCCGGAUACUAUUUGUGAUGAUAUCCAUAAAAUAUGGGCGGUAUUUUGGUGGGGCAAUAAGGAUGAGAAAAUACAUAUGCAUUAGGCCAGGUAGGAACCCAUGUGUGAGCCGAAACAAAAAAGAAGCAUGAGGUUCAGGGAUUUAAAGAUUUGAAACAAAGCUUUAGUGGCGAAACAUACUUGGACGAUGAUUUUGUAUACUGAGUCACUGGUAGCCCGUUUUUUUAAAGCUAAAUACUUCAAAAAUGGUGAUUUGAUGCAAGCUCAUGCUCUCUCGAGAUCGUCUUAUGUUUUGGCACUCUAUUGCCUAGAGCAGAUCGAUGAUUAAGGAGGGCUUGAUAUGGAAAGUGUGGAAUGAAACGGAUAUGAUUGUAUUCAUAGGUCCAAGGUCUGCAUGGGGUUAUACAAAUUUUUUCUCUGGCGAGCCUUCUCUAAUCUAAUCCCGACGACGGCCAACCUCUGAAACCAUUAUGUUCCUACGGAUGGUAUCUGUGAGUCUUGCCGUGAGGUGCAACAAAUAUGCCGACAAUCACGUUUUUUGGGAUGUGAUGCAAAAAGCAACAGUGAUGCAACUCAUGGAUAUUGCAGAAGUGAUCUUGAAGGAAUGAGGAAGGGAUGAAUAUGAGUUAUGGUGCUACUUAUCUGUGCACCAAAAAGCAUGGUGCAAAGGAGUUUGUUGAAUUGUCGUAUGAAGAGACGAGUAAGGCGUAUUCGGAAAGCAUAUGUCGUAGCCAAGCCCACAUACUUGACGGAUAAAUGUUAGGGUGUCUCAUUGGGGAAGAAGAAGAAGUGGAUUAAGCCGAUGCAUAGUUGCUUCCGUGUUGACGUCAAUGCUUUGUUUUAUCUAGAUCAGGGAGCGUAUGGGGUGGGAAUCAUAAUUAGAAAUUAUGAAGGCACAAUGGUGUUUUAUCUAUGACACUCAGCCUAUCUCAAGUGCUAUGAUGGCUGAAAUCUUGGCUGUGGUACAAGGGAUUAACCCACUACACAACUAACCUUGUGUACACAAUUCUCGCGCGACGUGUUAGGCCAGCUCGAUGAAUCUCGAUGAAUUAAGAAAUAGCAUUAACCUGAUACAAAACGUGCAUAGAUAACAUUUCAUGGUUAGUAUACAGUUCAUAAAGCAUUUGCGAUUUUAUAUAACUCAAGCAUAAUUUUUGAAAAUAAAGCCCACCUUGAUAGGACAAAGCCUGAAGUUCAAACGUAACUCGUCUCGAAAACGCAGUGCUAUUCCUCUUGGUCAACUGAGCCUACAAGAUAAUCUAAUCUUAAUAGGUCUCGUGAUACGAGUCUUAGUUCAAAGUAGGAUAAAGCUUACUAAUUUCUAAAUCACUAUGCCUGGGUUUUAAAACUCACUUUAAAAUCUUGAAAAUCAAUUGCUCGGCUAAGGGCACCAACAACAAAAUCCUUGCUUGACUUUUGUUGAAAUUUUUUAACUUGAAAAUAUUUUCAGUGCUUAAAUAUUUUUCUUUCAAAAUCAGAAUAUAAUUUCAUAAAUACUUUAAUCAAAUAAUAUGUGAAUCAUACUUACUAUAUGCACAUAAUAAGAAUUAUGAUGCAUUUUCUAUUACAUUAAUUACAUGAAUACAAGUAAUUAAUAGUAUAUAUGAAAGAAUAACUCUUAAUCAAUCUAACUUGAUUAAUCACAAGUCACUUAAUAAACUAAUGAUGAUUCUCAUCAUAUACUUAAUCAACACAAUUGAAUUUGAUUAAGUAUAUCAAAUCUAUAUUCUAUUCAAUUGAAUAAUUCAACUCAUUAGUCUCAACCCAUUAUUAAAAGAAUGAAGCCUAAUCGAUCAUUUGAUAUAAUACCCAAAUCUGAUUAUUAAGUAAGACCAACAAAAAUUAAAUUAUUCCCAAGAAGAGUAAAAUAACAAGCCCAGUUUCCAAAGCCCAAAUGAACACUUUCUCUCUCCUUUAAUCAAUCGGACUUCUCUCUCUGUUCACUCUCUCGAUCUCUCCAGCGCUGCCGCCUUCUCCUUCUUCCCCGGCGAAGGGCGCCGCCUUCGGCCCCCGUCACCACCGGCAUCUCCCCCUCUCUAGCUCUCUCCUUCCCUAUCUCCCUUGCCGCCUCUUUCUCCUUCUCUAUUCCUCUCAGACCUUCCACCCAUAAUUCCCCAAUUUCAGAACCCUUCUCUCUCAAUCUUAGCCCGCGAACAGCCACCGGCCUCUAUUCUCAUAGCGAGAAUCGCCGCCGCCUUCUCCUCUCCUCUGGUCGGACAGCAACGGCCCCACGACCGCCGCCGUUCUGAUUCUCACCAUCAAAACCCCAUCUCCGUCUCUAUUUCCAAAUCACUCAACAAUCACCAGGCCUAAGGCUAAGUUCACAAUUUUAUUUAAUAUGCACAAUGCUUCCUUCUAUAUCAAUUCUCCAACUAAGUGUAAAGAUUCAAGUUUUAUCGAUUUGUAAAGUUAGAUGCAUUAUUUUUAUAAAAUGGAUGGUGACUCAAAAUUGAUUUGCAGGGCUAAGAUGAGAAGAGAAGCCAACCUGGAAACCUUGAUAUUAAAGGUGCAUUGCUAUUCAGCUGAAACAACUUGCACUUGAUCUGGAAACAAUUUGAGAUUUGAGGAGGACCUCAAUGUUGGGAAAAUGAGUUGAGAAUCGAACAACUAAUUGUUAAUGUGAAAGGGUGAAGGCUUUGUAUACAUGAAAUGAAAUAAAANAAUCUUUGUUUUCUAUGUUCAAGUUUCAACUAGGUUCUACAAAUGAAAACGUGAGAAAAUGAGUAAGUUUUUUUGAGGGGUGAGAAAAUGAGUAAUUGAUUGAGCUAUUGAGGUUUAAUGGACAAUGGGCUAAAAAAUAUGGGUAUUUGAAUGAUAGAUUGGAGAAGAAAAUUUUAUGCUGGAAUCAAAGGAAGUUCUCUGCGGGGGAAAAAAGAGGUCCUUAUCAAGGCGGUAGCUCAGGCGAUGCCAACAUUUGCUAUGCAAUGCUUCAGAAUACCGGAUACUAUCCAUAAAAUAUGUAUGAUAUUUUGGUGAGGCGAUAAGGAGGAGAAAAAAUGUAUGCAUUAGGCGAGGUGAGAACGCAUGUGUGUGUCGAAACAAAAAAGAGGCAUGUGGUUCAUGGAUUUAAAGAUUUUAAACAAAGCUUUAGCCGCGAAACAUGCUUGGAGGAUGAUUUUGUAUCCACCCGUGUUUUUAAAGCUAAAUACUUCAAAAAUGAUGAUUUGAUGCAAGCUCAUGCUCUCUCGAGAUCGUCUUAUGUUUUGGCGCUCUAUUGCCUAGACGGAAAUUAGUUUUUCAAAUAUAGAUUUACCAAGAUUGAGAGGUUUUAUUAGUCACCUCACCACUUUUUUUUCCAACUCUAUUACAAGUCCACCAAAAUCAAAGUCAUAUAUUUAAGCAAGUACAAGAACAGUAGCCUAUUCCCUCCCCUGCUCUGCAGCACCAAUUUCGGCUGUCAUUCAGCUACCCUACUCUUUCAUUCCUAUCAAGCCUUUGAAGGAUCGCAGAGGACCCAUCUGCCCAUAUACAUAUACUAUCAGCCACCAUACUUCAACUGUUGAGGUACAAAAAUAGGGAAAUGUCUAUCCUAGGCUGAUACGUGGUAGGCUGGGACGUUGGAUGAGUGCCACGUCAAAAGUGAUAGAUAACUAGUUCAUUUCAUUUAAAUCAACCCAAUCAACCCAGAAAACCGGUUCAUUUCAUUUACAACCAACCCAGACCGGUACUAUAGUGCUUUUGAAUUUACAUCCAAAAAUAGCUCAUUCAGCCCCCUACACUUGACCCUUCUUCUCAAGCCUCCCAUGGAUCAAUACUCAAGUCUUCAUCCAAACUCUACUCCCUUUAAAGAAUCAGCAACAAUCCCUCUCCAUUUCUUUGCACGCCAAUACAAUCCCUCUCCAUUUCUUUGCACGCCAAUAACAGAGAGUCAAUGAGUUCAUCUUAGCUUCUGCCAAACUUAAAAGAUUUUUUUCCCAGCAAAUCUAUUAUCACAACCAGGUUCAAACACAUUCGCAAGGUAUUAUACUAUCUCAGUCAUUCAACAUGUUUCACACCAAUAAGAAUUCUGAGUAAGGCAUAAAUGACAUCAACAGACUAGAAAUUUUUAGGUGAAAUAAGUGUGCUUUAACUGAUUAGCUUUUGAACUCAAGUACCCAAAUAGAACGCUAGUAAAUAACACACAAGGACCUAUCUAUUGCAUAACUGGUGAGGGCCACAAUCAAACACCAGACCAGAUUUCAUAGUUCACCUAGUGCAGUAAUUAGUUGAACUUAAGGCUUUGUAAGCUUACGAACCUGUUGAUUCGAGUGCGGGUUAUGUUGGCUGGGGUCGGACCUUGGAAGAGUUGGGCGAGAAUGGAGACUGCGUUGCAGGGCACCGCGAAUCGACGGAGCAACGGAUGACUGCUCCGUUCACCAGAUGCAGGGAAACAACAGCGCGGUGACCCCAGUUAAGGAAGACACGACAACACGAUCGGCGUUGGGGGAUCCAACACCGACGACGACGAACGCUAUCGACUCGCCGAUCCUCGAACCACCAGCAGCGAUGGGCGGAUUCUAGGCCUCGCAGCUCACCGAUUUUUCUUGAGAUGACGACGGUUGGGCUGUACCGAACAGAGAACAGCUAGGGCUCGACCCUUACUAGAGCUACGUUAGAGAAAAUCAGAGAGAAGAGAGAACCAAGGAGGAAAUCAUGCCUAUGGCCUCGCUCGGUAACGGCGGUGAUUUCUGAUGGAGAAGAGAAUUAGGGCUCGCCCCUUUCGCCUUGAUUGAGUGCGCCAGAGAGGGUGUGAGUGAGAGAGGGGAAAAGAGAUAGAGGUUGCGAGUCAGGCGAAGGGGGAUGCCGCGUUGACGACCGGAUUCCGGCCUCGCCAGAGCUUAGAGAAAGGGAGAGGUGCUGUUCUGUAUACAGCGAGAACGAGAGAGAGAGAGAAGGUAUCAGCCGAUUAUUGAGAAGAAAGAAAGAAAGAGAGAUGGGUUGGGCUUCAGUAAUUGAUUUUUUGAUUGGGCCUCUACUGUUGGGCUGCAAUUGUUUGACUGAAAUUUAUGAUAUUAAUGGGCCAAGUCUUUAGGCCGAAUCUGUGGGGGAAUUUAUUUUCUUAAAGGGUAAUUAUAUAUAUAGCCCUCAUUUUACUCAACAUAGCCUCAAAUUUAUAAAAGAAAUACAAAUAUUAGUGAAUGUAUUAUUUUGCCCUUGUAGCCCC